CGGAAUGUGGCGCAGCCCGGUAGCGCACUUGCAUGGGGUGCAAGGGGUCGCAAGUUCAAAUCUUGUCAUUCCGA
rnacentral:tRNA from 1 species